AGCAGGAACCUGACUGCGAGCACACAGCGGACUGUGCAAAGGGCAAAACACUUCGCAAUGGCUGACAAAGGAAAUCAUAUCCGUUUUCUGGACAGGGAAAUUCGAAUGGGGCUUGUUGGAAAGACUGGAGUAGGUAAAAGUGAAACAGGGAAUACAAUAUGU